ensembl:lncRNA
GUUCGUGGGCCGCCCGAGGCGGACGGAAGUACGGCCACAGUGGCGCCUGCGCGUCUGGGGUGCUGAGUUGCUGCCCGCCAUUUUUAGAGCUGCUUGGGGAGCUGGGAAAGGAACAGCCCCCCAGUUCCUCCGCCGAGGCCCCUCCCCAGCUCCCUUAAACACAGUCAAGAAGCUUUCUACAGGUUGACUCACAUUUAACAACGAACUUCCAGGUCAAGGAAUAUGCUGGGAUUAUAGUUUCUUCUCUACAGGACCACAGGCAAAACCACUGCAUCUUAGAUCUCUCCCCAAGGCAGCACGAUUAUCCAUUUCCAGGAACUUUUAGGCUUUACUCUUGAAUCGGUGUUGUAACAUUCCUUGGAAUAAAAACAUAAUAACAAGUUGUCAGGAUCAGAAUCUCAGGACUUCCUGGAAGAUGGCAGAAGGGUGAACAACAG